UGAAAACCAAACACUUUAUCACGGAUUUCGCUCGCUACUGGUAGAGGGUAAUGAGUUUGUGAUGUUAGGAAAAGGACAAGAAGAGGCGUAACCCUGCUCCACAGGAAGGCGCUGCCGAUACAAAGGCCUAACUCAGAAGAAAUUCUGCGUCACCUGUAGCAUCAAGAUCAAAAUCAAGUAGACCCGUCCUGCACACUGAGCCUUCAGGAAUUGGCUUUCUCCAUCCAGGUCGUGGCGCCAAAAGCCGGGAGCUGAGAGCCGGGGUGAAGGUGUCCAUGGGCCUCAAUGUUUCUGACUGCUUUUACUAUCACUGCCUAAGGUUACACUCUACUACAGGUUGAAGAUAUUGGCCAGAACUCUUUCCACACAAUGCCUGGUGGUGGUGGUGACACAGGAAGCAAGGAAGAGUUGACAAGUCUAAGGAAACCAGCCAGAUCAAAGAAGGGAACAAGUAAACACCAAGGAAUUAACAGAUCAGUAUUUUUGGAGAAUUUUGUUUCAUAUUUACUUUUGUGCUUUUAAAUCUUGAUCUGCUGCUGAAGUUUAAAAACGGGUGACCACACAGAUGAUUGACGAAAAUCACUCCAUUUUGACAUUUUUAAUUUUUGUGCUAAAAUAUUUCCUUUGCCAUAGAACUACAACGUGGUAAGUGUGAAACACAUAUCUGAGCCAUAUAACCCAUUCCCUGCCCCCCAAAAGCUACCCCUCUCGCGCCCCAUCCCAGCCACUGCAUCGCAAUAGGCCAGCUCUGCCACACACACAC